rnacentral:lncRNA from 1 species
AACAUUUGCUGAGUUGAGCUAGCUCCCACCUGGCCUGCUGCCAGGCUGAGAGUUGGAGAAAUUAAACAGCUUGCACCAGGUGGGAAACUAUGCUCACAGCCCCCAACACAUAAUGCGACCUUUCUUUCCAUUCCUUCAAGAUUAACAGGAUAGCUGGAAGUCCCGCUGGCCAUCGGACACUCGUUCAUUAGGUGCUAACUAUGUGUCAGGCACUGGGUACUGGGAUGCGAUGGUGAACAAGACAGCCACAGACCAGCUCUCCUUGGAAACUGAGCUCAGAGGUGGAAACCAACCUAAAUAAACGGUCACGAUCAAGCUGUCAGUAGGACCGAUUCCUUGGAGAAACUCUGGAAAUAGUGAGUGCCUUCUGCUUCCCCAGUUCCCAGAAGCCCUCUGCAACCCUUAGCUUGUGGCCCCUUUGAUCUUCAAUAUCAGCAAUUACCAGUCAAGUCUUUUUCACGCUGCGUCCUUUGACCUCUUCUCUUGCUUCUAUCUUUCACUUUCAAGCACAUUUGUGAUGAUUUGGGGCUUACCUGGACAAUCUACAGUUAUGUUUUCUGGGAAACAUAACACAGUCACGACUUUUAGGUGGUGUCUGUGCCUGUCGCAGGCAGUUGGACUGACAAAAUAUGAACCGUGCUCAGAUGCCAAGAGCACACAGUGGCUGUGCAAUGAGGGAGCCCGAGGAUGGCCACUGAUGGCAGGCAUUUCGGAACCCUUCUCCAAAGCUCUAGAGCUCUAGACCAAUGAUUCUCAACCUUCUUUUUUAAUGUGCAUUGGUAUUUUGCCUACAUGUAUGUCUGUAUGAAAGUUUCAGAUCUUGGAUUACAGACAUCUGUGAGCUGCCAUGUGGGUGCUGGGAAUUGAACCUGGAUCCUCUGGAAAAGCAGCUAGAUGCUCUUAACUGCUGAGCCAUCUCUCCAGCCCCCGGUUCUCAACAUUCUUAAUGCUGAGACCUUUAAUAUAUUUCUCAUGUUGUAGUGACUCCCAACGAUAAAAUUAUUUUUGUUACUACUGUUAUGAAUUGUAAUAUCUGUUUUUUUUUAUAGUCUCAGGUGAUCCCUGUGAAAGGCAACCCACUGACUGAGAAGCCCUGCCCUAGUGGUCAGCUGGCAUCCCUGAGUAAGAGCUAGCUCCUCUGAGGGGGUCUAGCUCCUCAUUCGCAGGGCCUGCUUUCAAGUGCUAGGAAUUACUAAGAUCUAAAGACUUGGGAUGCAGAUAUUGGUGAGAGGUGCUAUUCUGCAUGCCAUGAGGUAUUGCUGAGAGAAGGAGGAAGAAAAAGAAUAGGAGGAAAGAAAUUACACCGAGUCACUCUCAUCUGAAGUCUGAUUGCACCCAGGAUAAAAGACCUUCUCGGACAAUUACCGGAUGGUCUGGGAGAGGGAGCCAAAGGGCAGGGACUGCUAGAUGGCUCUAGAAGCCAUUUAGAGAUUUGCACAUUGCUGCUAUCCUAAAUCCUACUUCCUCAGUUAGGACACGGGCAAACAGAAGUGCACCUGCAGACUGGCCUUUGCCAAGUAGAGAAGCCUCAGGUGUUAUAACUGAGGACUAGUAUGUGCAGACUCCAAGCAAGGAAGAUCAUUUUUCAUCACUGGCCAUCGCAGAGGCCAGCGGGCAGGGCUGCUGUGAGGACCCUGACAUGCCCAGGUGUAUGCCCUAGCCUGCCAUCAUUCGGACAGGCUAGACGAUGAUGCAGUAUAAGGGAGGAGUGAUUUACUCUGGCUCACAGUUUCAGACCUUUCAGCCCGAAACCAUGUGGCCCCAUUGCUUUUUACCUGAGGUGGGGUAGACUACCAUGGUGACAAGGACAUAUGACAGAGCAGUGGAAAGACAAGGGACCAGAGACAGAGGCAUAUCCCAAGUGACCUGCUUCCUCUAGCCAGAUCUGGUCUAAGAUUUCCUCCACUUAUCAAAUUAGGAAUUUGUGACUUCAUCCCCCAGUCACAUCAGAGUUCUCCAAGUCUAAUGAGCACUCGGUGACUGGAUCCAUGAGCUGAGGACUAAACUCCAACACUCAUGCCUUUUCACAGAGGGGCUGCCAUCAAGCCUGUACUUCCUGCUGAUAAGUUAAUCUACACAGAAUACUCUCAUCUCACCUUGCAGCACUGAGGAGAAGAGGAAAGGACCAGAGGAGGCAGCAAGCAGCCCUUUUUAGGGCAUGGCCUAGAAUGGACUCUUUCAGCUUUGGCACUGAUGACACUUGUGCCAAGCAACUCUUUUGUGUAAGGGGCUGUUUUGUACAGCAUAGCUUGUGCCACGCCUCUAGAAUCCACCUUCUAGAUAACAGGAAUCACAGCUUCUGGAAGUGACCGUGAAGAACGUCUCCAGACUUUGUCAAAUGCUCUGGGAAGCAAAGUCGCAUGCAGUUAAGUGGAUAUAGGAGAGAGCAUGCUAUUCUGGUACCCUCCUCUUGCUCAGAACUUAGGAAACGGUCACUCCUCUAAAGUGUAAGCAGGGGUUCUAUCAGUAAGGAAGUGGCUGACACGUGGCUUCAGCUGGUGGUCUCUGGGAGACUAACAGCUUCCGAGCCUCUGCUUAGUGUCCGAGUCACGCUCCUGAACACAUGGGAUGUGCUGUGAGGAUGGUCGCUAGUGAGAGGAGUUUCUGAACCUGUCUCCAGAGUCCUAGCUGGUCAGUUGGCAUCCCUGAGGCAACGCUAUCUGAGGAGUUGGCCCUUUAACCACUGGACUUGCUUCCCAAUGCUGGGGGAGUCAAAGACAUUUCCUGGAGCCACAGGCUUCCCAGUUCUAUGUCACACUGAAUGCGAACUUUGGCUUUAACUUCUGGCUCUGUCUUACAUGCGUCCAGAGUGACUUUGCUUCUCCCAUAGUGGGUUUCAAAGGCGAACAGUAUUGGCUUUUAUUUUGACCAUGAGUUAGCUCUGUGGUUCUUUGUCAUCCUGCUUUCCUCGUCUGUAAAGUUAGGGCAGGGUCCGCUUUCACUCAGGGUUGUUGGGGGAAUUAAGUGAGAUGAUGUGGAAGAGAGACUUGUGCUCAUUCUUCAGACUUCAACACCUAAGGGCCUGGCAAAUUGAUACUCAGGUUUAAGCACUGGAGUCUGGGUCUCCAGGGUUAACAUGAGUGCUUCGUAGGCAUGGCAGCCUACUUGAAAUCCGGGAACUGUGGGAUUUGAUGAGGAUGGGGAACGCCAAGGGAAACAGGGUACUCAGAGCACGCUGGUCAACAAGCCAACAGAACAGUGGCCUCUGUGCCCAGUAAACACGCUGGUGAGCAGCAGUGAAGUAUGACACCUAAGAUCAACUUCUGUCCUGCAUGUGUGUGUGCACAUACACAUAUCCAUAUUUCACACACACCCCCAUACAUAUGCAUACAUGGGAAAAGAAGGAGAAAGAAGACUGACUAGCAGCCGCAUGUCGAGGAGAGCAGGAUCUUAUCUUCGCAGUGUUUCCCUGUGGUAUUUACUGCCCUUGUUAUGGUCGUUGAUUCUAGAACUUGCCAGCCAGUGGGUAGAUGAGGCUGAACCAAUACAUACUGGGUCUGCAUGUGGAAGAAUGAGGCUUGCAGCCAACGGCCGUCCACAUCUCUGAUGAGGAUCAGGUAGGUAAGGACGAGUGGAGGCUGACCAAAGCAGAGCAGCCAAGGACUUGGUCCUAGAAGCCAGGGACAGAGCUUCUGUCAUCUUUAGGAACUCAGAGGACUGAAUGGAGGUGGGGCUGUCAGGCUGGGUGGGUGGUCAACCAUUACAGAAAGUCAGGACAGACAACCGCAUGGUGGCGCUCCUUCAGUUCAAUGGAGGGAGUAAGAAGCCUGGCCAAGGUCCAGGCAGCUGUUGGAGUUACUCCUGCUGAGGCAGACUGGCUGAUGAGGCAGGAAAGCUCUUUUUUUUUUUUUUAAACAAAUGGGGUUCUCCAUGGUGGCCCAAUGGCAAGUUUAAUAAACUAUGACAGCAUCUCACCUCUGUUCCUCUGCCAACCCAUAUGCUGUAUCCUGUCUCUUGGCGAGCUGAUUAGGAGAGCAGGUUCAGGAGGCAGGUCACCUCCAUGAAGUCAUCAGAGAGCCCCUGAGUUAAUGAUGGCUCCAAGCAACGAGGCUCAAACUUUUUCCAUCCACAGCUCAGUGCUGGCAAAGCAAAAGACCUCACAUGUUCCCACUUACUGAGCCAGAAACCCUUCCUUCUAGAGUGAAACUUACCAUCAGUGACCAGUUAUUAUGACCGCUCCUCUCCAUGUCCCUUUGACGCCUCUGUUCCCCUCAUCUUGUAAAACCACACCCAUGGUCGAGUCCACUCUUUCUUUUAAUCCAUGCUUGUUUGGAAGUCAGGGGGACACCAUGACAGUGUUGAAUGUUCUCAUCCAGAUCAUGCCCACGGGUUGUCACACUCUAUGGCCUGAGCACAUCACCCUCCCACUCGCCAAGAGACAGACUAUACCUUCACUUCUCCCUUCAGACCCCUAACACCUUCCUCUUCAUCAUUCCUCCUGAUGGGUGACCCUGCUUCCCUUCCUGUCUUCAUGGGCAGAACACAUUCCUCCUCCCACCACCACCCACCCUUGUGUCCUCUGUUUUCUUGACAAUAUCAGGGAUGAACUUGCUACGUGCUUCUGCAAAGCCGACCUCUCCACCUGUGUGCCACCCGUCCUGUCUCAGCUGGCCAAGGACAUCACUGCUGCCCCAUUUCCUACUCUCUCCUACAUCUUCCUCCUCCAUCAUCCCUAUCAGCCUACAUACAUGGGAUUGUGACUUGUAGCUUUAAAAAUGCCUUCUUCUGGCCUCACUUUACCCAAAACUUUCUUGUGUGCUCCCAAUGUCACAAAACUGCUCUAGAAAGUUCUCUGUGUUUCACUUUUACACCUUGUCUCCUCCCAUGUCUCUUAGGCAGACUCAUUCAGCCUUUUGUCUCUGCGCCCAUCAUGCCUUUGUCAUCAUGUGUUUCUGGGCCUGGGUCGCCUUGACUGUGUUUCACACAGGACGUCCUUCCCUCUGGGGCUGUUUUCUCCCGUGCCCUCAGAACAAUGGUCUCUUUGUUUUCAGUCUCUGGAACUGCUGCUUCUCAGCCUUCUUUGCUGGCCUUUUUCAUUUCCUUGGUCCUUUAAGGCUGAGUCUUCAUCCACAACCAUCACUGUCUUGAUUGGUGCAGUUCCAGUCUUCUAGUUGCCCAGGCUCAUCACCCCCAUGGUUACCACCCUGGCUGGGACCGUAUCGAUGUUCAUCUGGACCCAUGACUGUUAGAGAGAGAGAGAAACACACACACACACACACACACACACACACACACACACACACACAGAAUACAACAGAUCAUGGCAUUCUUCAUUCCUCUUUAGAUCUUCUAGUUGCUCUUCAUAUCCCUGAGGUUUUAUGGGAGACUUUAUCCAGCUGGGCCACCCAACUCCACCUCCAAACUCCAAACUCCUCUUCUACCCUACCUCUGUCAACUCCAUGCCAACCACAGAUCUGCUUGUAGCUCCUCAACACCGUGGGGAUUGGUCCCCAGCCAUUCCCAUGAUCCCCUCCCUCCCUCCCUCCCACUCUCCUGCUUUCUCCCCCUCCCCUCUCAAGCCUUUGCUCAGUGUUGCCAUGUCUGCAUCUUCUGUGCUAUCCGUAUGUGCUAUACCCGAUUCUGUUUCCAUGGUAAUCCUCCCACUCUGGCGUCCUGUAUGCAUAUUUAUUUAUUCUCAAAUGUUUAUUACCUUGGGUUUCCAACACUUGCAUAUUAGCUCCACGAGGACAAGGACUUUUGACUUUUCGUUUUGUUCAUGAAUGCCAGGGACCUAAAGCUACGGCUAGCACAUGGCAACAAAAGUAUUUGUUGACGAUUGAACAGAAAGAUUAGUCUAGCUGUGAAGCGCCUGCAGUAACAGAUAGGUGCCACUCAGUUCUCCAUUUACCCCCUGGCUGUCCAUCAGCUUCGGCAUCCAACAGGUACGGUUUUGAUUACUUUCAUCCAGUUCUUUGGAUUGUGGAAAAAUGUGUCCGCCCUGAAAGAACUUUUGAUCAUCUAAGUUAGAAUUAAGUGUGUAGCCCUUAUCACACUGGGGAAUUGGUAUCACGGGUAGUAGUAAUUAUGAAUUUAAGAACAAAGAGGCUUUGAGCCCCCCCUUCCCCCCAUCCCGCUCAUUGCAAGUCCUGCAGUGCUGAGGAUCUGCCUUUGACAGCCCUGGAAACUCAGUAGCCUGAGAGAGGAACUGUUGUUCUUUUGCCUGUUUGCCUUGAGACAAAGACUU